CGUGGCUGAGCGGUGCAGUGUGCGCGCGGUGACUGUCAGACCGGUCCGCGCGUCUCCAGUGCGCAUGUCCGCCGUGUGAAGGCGAAUGCGGUACAGAAGAUCAGUGCGGGGGGAGACGCUGAGGCGCUUAGCCGAGAGCUGGAGUCUCACUCUAUAGGACGAAAAGGAGAAACUAGCUUGCUCUUCGCUGUAUGUCAUUGUCGGAUUCAGCGGAGGAGACGGCGGGCCAUUUCGUAGUGCGAUGAAGUGAAAGUGUGUGUUAUUGGAUGUCCGCAAGCCACCUGCAAGUCUUGUUCCCGGAGUUUGCGUACGUGCGUGGAGAGCCCCCAAGCGGAGGACCGCCCUCCCCCCUGUAAGCCGGAGCUCAACGUUGGACCUGUGACGACCUCAUAGGGCAGAAAGUGCAUCAGCACCCCAGCCUUGCCCCAACCUCACAGCCGCCAUGGUGCUGUCACAAAGACAACGAGACGAGCUAAAUCGAGCGAUAGCCGAUUAUCUUCGUUCCAAUGGAUAUGAGGAAGCGUAUUCGGUGUUCAAGAAGGAGGCCGAGUUAGACAUGGUAAGUCUGGGCCGCCUCAG